CUGGCCCAACUGAUUGAUGGUGCUUGCACCUGAUUGACGAUGGAUUACCAGUGAGUGGCGGACGGGUGAGUAACACGUAGGUAACCUGCCCCGGAGCGGGGGAUAACAUUUGGAAACAGAUGCUAAUACCGCAUAACAACAAAAGCCACAUGGCUUUUGUUUGAAAGAUGGCUUUGGCUAUCACUCUGGGAUGGACCUGCGGUGCAUUAGCUAGUUGGUAAGGUAACGGCUUACCAAGGCGAUGAUGCAUAGCCGAGUUGAGAGACUGAUCGGCCACAAUGGAACUGAGACACGGUCCAUACUCCUACGGGAGGCAGCAGUAGGGAAUCUUCCACAAUGGGCGCAAGCCUGAUGGAGCAACACCGCGUGAGUGAAGAAGGGUUUCGGCUCGUAAAAGCUCUGUUGUUGGAGAAGAACGUGCGUGAGAGCAACUGUUCACGCAGUGACGGUAUCCAACCAGAAAGUCACGGCUAACUACGUGCC
rnacentral:rRNA from 1 species